GUGAGGAAUAUUGGACAAUGGGCGCAAGCCUGAUCCAGCCAUGCCGCGUGCAGGAAGACGCAUCUAUGGUGUGUAAACUGCUUUUGUACGGGAAGAAACACUCCCUCGUGAGGGAGCUUGACGGUACCGUAAGAAUAAGGAUCGGCUAACUCCGUGCCAGCAGCCGCGGUAAUACGGAGGAUCCAAGCGUUAUCCGGAAUCAUUGGGUUUAAAGGGUCCGUAGGCGGUUUAAUAAGUCAGUGGUAAAAGCCCAUCGCUCAACGAUGGAACGGCCAUUGAUACUGUUAGACUUGAAUUACAAGGAAGUAACUAGAAUAUGUAGUGUAGCGGUGAAAUGCUUAGAUAUUACAUGGAAUACCAAUUGCGAAGGCAGGUUACUACUUGUGGAUUGACGCUGAUGGACGAAAGCGUGGGGAGCGAACAGGAUUAGAAACCCGAGUAGUCC
rnacentral:rRNA from 1 species